rnacentral:lncRNA from 1 species
CAAAUGUAUCUUACAUAUUCAGAAGAGUGCAUAAAAUGUAUUUAUAUGUUUAAAGAAUAAAAAUAACAUGAAUACCCAUAAAUCCAUUUUCCAACUUAAGAAAUAGUAUACUAUCCACAUCUUAGAAUCCUCUUUUGCGUCCUUCCUCAGUUAAGCACUGCCCCCUUCUCAACUCCCAAAGAAAGUGUAUUAUAAGUUUGUGUUAAUUAUCUCCUUACCCAUCAUUAUAUGUAUUAACCUGUUGGUUGGUUUUGAAAAACUUAGAAGCAAACACAAGCUCGGCUAUGCAAGAAAGGGACAAUAUUUUCAUUGUUACAUGAAGGACUCAGGAGAAGAGAAGCUCAACAGCAUUUCUGAGUCAUAGUCUGGCUUCAACUUUCUUGAAAUUUCUAAGAAUCUCUUCUAGAGAAGUAAGCGAGCAAGGGCAGGAGAGGACCAGGAAAACAUAAACCUCCCCACAGUCGGAGAACUUGGAACAGCUUCUGACAUCAGCAGAAAUAUGCUCAAAAGAUUUGGGCUACUCUGUAUAUUCUGCUUUUAAGUGAACCAUGAUCUCCCUUUGAAGAGUAUGUCGGAGCAGAAUUGUCCUGGAUGGUGGAAUGUCCUCAGUUGAUCCAGGCAGCAAGGACAACGCGGAGAACAGAAACUCAUCAGCAUGUUUCUUACUCUGGCCAAGUACACUUAAGAAUCUGAGGCAUUCUAUCCUUUGGUCAGGAUAAACUGGCAGCAGGUAUCAUAGAGAUGGCAGUCUCAGGGUUUCUGUUUCCAUAGUCACACUGAUCCAGUCUGGACUCAGAGGCUUCUGUGUCUGCUGCAUGGCUGUCGCUCUGGGAUCUCACCCCACUGCCAUCCAGGAUUCUCCCCUUCAUCUCUCUCCUGUGAUUGAGUCUCCCAUACCCAUUUCUUCUUCUUGCUUAGUUUAUUUUCUCAUUUUUGAUGGAGCUCAUCCUUUGGCAGCUUUUGAAGAAAGGUUACACAGAAGGCACUUUCUUUGGGAGCAUACGCAUGUUUAACCAUGAUCCUUAUAUCCUCAUACUGACUGGUAGCUUAGCUGAGUACAGAAUUCCUAGUUUGAAAAUCAUUUUCCUUGUUUCCAGUGCCACAUUGAGAAAUCCAAAACCAUUGUGAUUUCUGAUCCUUUGUUUCUGACCUAUUGGUUUUUUCUUUUCUCUCUGAAAAUUUGUAGCAUCUCAUCUUUAUCCCCAGUGAUACGUUUAUUUUCAUCUUUUAUUUGGGGUACUUAGUGGACCCUUUCAAUCUGGUUACUAAUAUCCUUUAGGAACUCUUGAGUUAUUUUGUUGAUGAUUUCUACUGCUUUAUUUUCUUUCUUUAUGGCACUCCUAUUUCUUGAAAGUUGGACUUUCUGGACUUUUUUCUAGUUUUGUUGUUUUUUUCCUCUGUUUAUGUUUUUGCUUUCCUUUCUGAGUGAUUUUCUUAAUUUUAUCUUCUAAUUCUUCUACGUAAUUUUUCAUUUUUGUUUUCAUGUAUUUAAUUUUCAAGAACAUCUUGUUUUGCUUAUGAAAGCAAUAUCUUUCCUUUACCAUUUUGAAGGUAUUAAAAAUGAUAAUAUUUUGGAAAUUUACUUCUGUGUAGUGUCUUCCAAGUUUCUUUAUAUAUACAUAUAUACGUGUUUUUUAUAAUGAUGUUUGUCUUCCAUACGUCUAGUGAUUCUUGACCAUGAUUAAGAGUGGGACUGCUGAACUGAUGAGAUGACCUGUGUAUGUGGCCGGGGCUUGUUAACUUUGAGCUCUACUUCAGGGCAUCCAGGUGGGUCAUUUUGGGAUGAACCUUCAAUUUAAAUAUCUUUAGAUCCUUUUCCUUUGAUUUGAUCAAGUUCCCCAGGGAAGCCUUUUCCUAUCUCCGGCCUCAAGGAGUAUGUUCUGAAUCCCUGUGAUCUUGACGCCAAGCAGGGAAAGACAGGGGAUGACCUUGUUCAGCAUUCAGUAUGCAUAUAGUCAUUUAAUCUGCCUUGUUUUUAGUAUAACAUUCACAUUCUCAACUAAUGCAGAGAAUUUCUCUCUUAUUUUCCAUAGAGAAAAACCCUCUAGACUUCUGCAGGGUAGAGGAGGGCCAGUUACACAACAAAGUGAAAUGGGACAGGGAAUCCUAGGAAUCUGUUUUUCAAACAACUUUCACGCAGUCCUUUUCAUUUUAGUCAGCUCCCCAACCCCUCCGUUCUGGAGUUACCAGCUGCUGCUAAUUCCUCUGUCUGUUGGAGACUCUGUGGUAUGAAUUGGUUUGUGCUCAUAUUUCCUCAUGACUAGAUUGGAAUUCAGUUUUCCCGAGGCUGCUAAGCCAUUUCCCACUCAUCCAUCUGCUUUCAAGCUUCCAAAGUUUUGUCUUUUCUCCUGUUCUCUCUAUCUUUUUUGGUUUGUAUCUUUUUUUAAAAAGUCCCCUUAUUGCAGUCUUACUGCAGUUUUGGGAGGAAGCGAAUCAGAUGUGUGUUCAUUCUAUCAACUUGGCCUGGACAAUCCCCAUUAUUCUUCAGCUUGCUUUGAUCUGGUUUCUGCUUUUUUGCACCAUUAAAAGUGAUCUUAUUUAGGUCACUAGUGACUUCCAUGUUGUCAAAUUCAAUAUGCACUUUAGGUACUAAUUUCAUUGGACCUCUCCACACCAUUUGACUCUAAUAUUCACUCCUAGGAACCACUGACUUGCCUUCUGUGUUAUGGCUCUUUCCUGAUUCUUCUCCUAGGUCUUUCAGUUAGCCUGAUUUGCUGGUUUCUCCAUCUCUGAGCCACACUCUAAAUCAUAGUGUUCUUUGGUUCCCUGUGUCUUGUAUUUAUUCCCUCACCCUAGGUUAGUAAUGUUUUUCUAGUAGCCUUAGGGAAACACUGGUAUGUUGAUUCCCCCAACUUUUCAUCUCCAUUAUUAAUCUCUCCUCUGAGUUUCAGUCUUAUAUAUCCAAUUAUUCAGUUUCCUCAUAGCAUAUCCAUUUUACAUUAUACAGUAAUUUGCAUAUCUAAUUAUAUUCUCAUUUUCUUCCUAGACUCUGAAACCCAUUAAGGAAGAAACUGCAUCUGUCUUGCUCACCAUUGUUCACCUAGCAUAGCACCUGUCACAAGUCAGCUGUAUUACAGAUAACUGGUGACAGUGUUCUGGAGGGAAGACCGCACUGCUCCAUUUGAACACCUCGUCGACUCACUCACUGGUUUGAAAUAUGUCAUCACUCAGAGAAUGAAAACAAGA